rnacentral:rRNA from 1 species
GUGCCUAAUACAUGCAAGUCGAGCGAAUCUUUAGGAGCUUGCUCCUGAAGGUUAGCGGCGGACGGGUGAGUAACACGUGGGCAACCUGCCUGUAAGACUGGGAUAACUUCGGGAAACCGGAGCUAAUACCGGAUAAUCCUUUUCGACACAUGUCGGAGAGCUGAAAGACGGUUUCGGCUGUCACUUACAGAUGGGCCCGCGGCGCAUUAGCUAGUUGGUGAGGUAGUGGCUCACCAAGGCGACGAUGCGUAGCCGACCUGAGAGGGUGAUCGGCCACACUGGGACUGAGACACGGCCCAGACUCCUACGGGAGGCAGCAGUAGGGAAUCUUCCGCAAUGGACGAAAGUCUGACGGAGCAACGCCGCGUGAGCGAUGAAGGCCUUCGGGUCGUAAAGCUCUGUUGUUAGGGAAGAACAAGUAUCGGAGUAACUGCCGGUACCUUGACGGUACCUAACCAGAAAGCCACGGCUAACUACGUGCCAGCAGCCGCGGUAAUACGUAGGUGGCAAGCGUUGUCCGGAAUUAUUGGGCGUAAAGCGCGCGCAGGCGGUCCUUUAAGUCUGAUGUGAAAGCCCACGGCUCAACCGUGGAGGGU